GAUAAACGCUGGCUACAGGCUUAACACAUGCAAGUCGAGGGGAAACGGCAUUGAGUGCUUGCACUGAAUGGACGUCGACCGGCGCACGGGUGAGUAACGCGUAUCCAACCUUCCCGUUACUGCGGGAUAACCUGCCGAAAGGCAGACUAAUACCGCAUGUUCUUCGAUGACGGCAUCAGAUUCGAAGCAAAGAUUUAUCGGUAAUGGAGGGGGAUGCGUCUGAUUAGCUGGUUGGCGGGGCGACGGCCCACCAAGGCGACGAUCAGUAGGGGUUCUGAGAGGAAGGUCCCCCACAUUGGAACUGAGACACGGUCCAAACUCCUACGGGAGGCAGCAGUGAGGAAUAUUGGUCAAUGGGCGGAAGCCUGAACCAGCCAAGUAGCGUGCAGGAUGACGGCCCUACGGGUUGUAAACUGCUUUUAUGCGGGGAUAAAGUGAGGGACGUGUCCCUUUUUGCAGGUACCGCAUGAAUAAGGACCGGCUAAUUCCGUGCCAGCAGCCGCGGUAAUACGGAAGGUCCGGGCGUUAUCCGGAUUUAUUGGGUUUAAAGGGAGCGUAGGCCGGGGAUUAAGUGUGUUGUGAAAUGUAGGCGCCCAACGUCUGACUUGCAGCGCAUACUGGUUCCCUUGAGUACGCGCAACGCCGGCGGAAUUCGUCGUGUAGCGGUGAAAUGCUUAGAUAUGACGAAGAACCCCGAUUGCGAAGGCAGCCGGCGGGAGCGCAACUGACGCUGAAGCUCGAAGGUGCGGGUAUCGAACAGG
rnacentral:rRNA from 1 species